rnacentral:rRNA from 1 species
UGGUGGAGUGAUUUGUCUGGUUAAUUCCGUUAACGAACGAGACCUCGACCUACUAAAUAGUGGGUCGAAGCCUUUGGCUUCAAGCUUACUUCUUAGAGGGACUAUCGGUGUCUAGCCGAUGGAAGUUCGAGGCAAUAACA